rnacentral:lncRNA from 1 species
AGGUACUAAAAAGGGAUCAAUGUUCUCACGGUUUUCCUGCAAACAGAAAAAUGGCUCUCGAACAAACUGUCAAAGAUCUCCAGGCUCAGAAUGCUCAACUCCAGAAGAUGAUCUUGAACUUAUCCAAGGGGCAGGAGGAACUGAAGGCUCUCUUGCUCGAGAAGAAAAAGACAAGAAACCUGUGAGUCACAUUAACCCGGGAAGAAGGCAGUUUACGAAGAUCAAUAUGACUUUAGCACAAGCACUGCAG